rnacentral:rRNA from 1 species
GAUGAACGCUGGCGGCGUGCCUAAUACAUGCAAGUCGAGCGAACGGACGAGAAGCUUGCUUCUCUGAUGUUAGCGGCGGACGGGUGAGUAACACGUGGAUAACCUACCUAUAAGACUGGGAUAACUUCGGGAAACCGGAGCUAAUACCGGAUAAUAUUUUGAACCGCAGGGUUCAAAAGUGAAAGACGGUCUUGCUGUCACUUAUAGAUGGAUCCGCGCUGCAUUAGCUAGUUGGUAAGGUAACGGCUUACCAAGGCAACGAUGCGUAGCCGACCUGAGAGGAUGAUCGGCCACACUGGAACUGAGACACGGUCCAGACUCCUACGGGAGGCAGCAGUAGGGAAUCUUCCGCAAAGGGCGAAAGCCUGACGGAGCAACGCCGCGUGAGUGAUGAAGGUCUUCGGAUCGUAAAACUCUGUUAUUAGGGAAGAACAUAUGUGUAAGUAACUGUGCACAUCUUGACGGUACCUAAUCAGAAAGCCCCGGCUAACUACGUG